GCUUGGGUGGCUCAGUGGUAGAGCGUCUGCCUUUGGCUCAGGGCAUAGUCCCAGGACUCUGGGAUCGAGUCCCACAUCAGGCU
rfam:Canis lupus familiaris chromosome 29, whole genome shotgun sequence.